UCAGCGAUUGGUUGAAAGUUUCUUCUCCUUCUAGAACACUCGCCUUCACUCUCUCUUAAUUCUUUUACAACAGCAAAUGCAUCAAUGUUUAUGUGCGGUCUGAAAAAUGUGCGCGGUCUGACAAAUCUAUUGCGCGGCCACUUUGACUGGCCUGCGCGGCCGCGCACGCGCGCAGCUUAAAGGGAACAUUGAACAGCAGUCAUGCUAAUUUUCUCAAUUUGCUUUUCUAUUUCUACUAGCAAUUAUGUGAGCUGCAGUCUGGAUCCUGCCUCUGUCAGAUGACCUAACACAAAUGGAAAGAUGACAUCGACCCUUGCAAGGACUUCAGACGAUGCCUGCACUGGACUACAUACAGUGAUUUUCAGUAGUCCGUGUCAAAUUUUAUUUCAAGGUGAUCCUAAAGCAACAAAGAGAGAGGCAUGGCGAGGAAGAAGUGGUGUCCAGAUGUUUAAAAGGCGGUGUUCGGGACAGGAAACAAAGGCAACAAAGAGGAACCUCUAAAGGCACUGCUUGCAGAGACAAGUGUAGGAAACAAAGACAGAAGACCUGACGAGAAUGUUUUAUGAUUAAAUGUUUUUGUUAUGUACAUGCACAUUAUUAUUUACAAUAUAUUUCUAAGAUACAUAAAUAUGUGACCUGUAUAUGAAAUCCAGGCUACUGUCUUAACAUCUAAUGACAUCUAAAGUUUGAAUUUUUUGAUUUAACAUUGAGUUCAGUCUUUGGCAUGACCUUACUCAGUCAGUAUUGAAGAUGUAAAGAUUAUAUUUUCAGAGAAUGUUUUCUGAAUUGUGUAGGAUGAUUUUAUGUAGAAAACAGUAAGUCACAAAGAAAUACUUUUCUGGGUUUUCACAGGCCGUGUCCCAUUUGUACAACAUAUGUGAAUUAUCUUGAGACUAAAACUUCUGAAAUCCAAACUGUUAUAUUUUAGCAUUUCAAAUGCAGCCACCCUUUGCCUAGAAUUUGAAAUAUAUAUACCCUUGGGUUUUUUCAGUAAUUUGAGAUCUCACCCUGAGAUAUUUUCAAAGAAAUUUCCAUGUAUUAUGGGCUUGAAUUACUUGUUUAUUUUAUCAUUUUGUCCAAGUAAUUUGAAAAAAAAGUUUUAAAUUAAAUUUUAGUUCUCAAUUGAAAUAAAUGGAUAUGUUGAGACUAUAUUUUUGUCCACAAACGUAAUUGAAUCA